UACGUAGGGGGCAAGCGUUGUCCGGAAUCAUUGGGCGUAAAGAGCGUGUAGGCGGCUCGGUAAGUCCGCUCUGAAAGCCCGGGGCUCAACCCCGGGAGGCGGGCGGAUACUGUCGAGCUAGAGUCCGGAAGAGGCGAGUGGAAUUCCUGGUGUAGCGGUGAAAUGCGCAGAUAUCAGGAGGAACACCGGUGGCGAAGGCGGUUCUCUGGGAAUUACCUGACGCUGAGGAGCGAAAGCAUGGGGAGCGAACAGG
rnacentral:rRNA from 1 species